UCUUGGUCAUUAGAGGAAGUAAAAGUCGUAACAAGGUUCCCGUAGGUGAACCUGCGGAAGGAUCAUUA
rnacentral:rRNA from 1 species